CCAAUAUUUUGUACAAUGAAUAAGGGCAAACCUUUACUACGGGAGUGCCAAAUACAAGUAACUGGUGGUGGCGAACUGCACCUUUAUUUAACAUAGCCUUUCUAGUAGUUGCACGCACAAUAAUUUGUUUCUUUUUGUUAUUGAUCUUAUGACAUUGUUGGGGUUCUUGCAGAAAUGGUGAGUGAACACGCGUAAACCUCUGAAGAAAAUUGCUAUUCAAAUUUAUUGUCACUCCGAUUUCAAACAAAUUUAGUGAGAAAUACGUUUUUAUAACAUUGUGUAUUUUGCAACAAGGUCUGGCUAACCAGUUUUGCUAAUAUAACAGUGGCAUUCAGGUGCUGGUAUAGGCUUCGCAAUGCAAAGGCCCAACGAAAUUGUAAUUUCUCGCAUGUACCAUUUUAACCUAACUAAAAACUCAUUUCGCAGGCACAAACAUUUAAAAUUGGCACUUCUUCUUGGGCCGCACAAUUUUUCCUUGCAGACAGCAUUUUGGCCCGCGAGUUCAUGCUAAAGAUGAGAAAGUUAGUUUUUCAAUUUAAUUUUCACUGAAUCCUGGAUCAUGAAUUUCAUUUCAUCUGGUAUCGCAAUCAGCUCCCAUUUAUUCUUUGCAAUGUUGUAUUUUUCAAAACUAUCACGUUUGUGCCAUCCUCCAACAGCAGUAAUCAGUAAUCAGUAAUUUAUUUCUUCACCAAGCUGAAAGUACGAAUUUUACAUACACAAAUAAAGAAAAUAUAAAAGACCGCAUUCCAGGGUGAAAGGAGACGCCGAAAACCAAUUCUGGUUAUCGAGCGGCGGCACCCACGGGGAAGUCUAACAAAAACGUGAUAAAUAUAAUUAAAUCGAACAAAAUAUAUUACUUAAUAAAUAAAUAAAGAAACGCAAUCGAUGCGUCAAGGCGACCCGGUAAAAACCAAGCAAUCGCCGUUUAAAAAUAAGAAAAUCGACUCCAUGCACCACAGUCUAGGUAACCAUGGAAAUUAUUAAGUGAACCAAACAGACUUGCAGUGUGGUCAUGGCAGGUAAAUAGUUCGGCUACGGUAAAGUGCAACACAAGUCGAUUGUGUGCAUAUAAGUGUCCAGAUUGAAAUAAAACUGGAUGUUAAGAGUACACAAAUUGUAAAAGUAUAGAAUACCGUACCAAUCAAGUAUGCAAAUAACAAAAUAUUGACACUUUGAGGCAGAAACAAGCUAGUAGUGUGAAAGCUAAAAUGUUGACCUGGACUAACAAGUGUUUUGAUGCUGGAGUCAAAGAUUCACAUACGGGAAUUGUAUAAACAUGAGGAAAAUAUACAUCGAAAUAUUCAGCAGUAUUAAUACAACACAAUGAAGUGAUUUGGAUCGAGACAAAUGAUGAGCUGGCAAUGACGAAAAGAUUUGCUGGGACCACAUCAACUGGAUGUAGAGGCAGUGGAAAGUGUUCACCUCGGCUUGCAGUG